ACCCCACUCUAUCCUCAAGGGUCUAUAAAUUGGUUGAGGCCAAGCCACAUUAAGUUCACUCAACAAUCUUGUCUUCACCUUAAUUGUGUUGUUAAUUAAGAAAAACAUGGCAUCAUCCUCCAAGAUUUUUCUUCUUCUUGGCUUUAUGUUUGCUCUUGUGAUCCUCAUCUCCUCUGAGGUCUCAGCUCGUGAGCUAGUGGAAACUGCUAGUCCAUUUUCUUUUGGUAGACCCUCUUAUUUCAGACGGCUCUUAUAUGCAUGUCGUCCGUAUUCU